rnacentral:rRNA from 1 species
CAGGCCUAACACAUGCAAGUCGAGCGAGAAAGGGGAAACCCCGGUAAAGCGGCGCACGGGUGAGUAACACGUAGGUAAUUUACCCCCAGGUGGUGGAUAACCUUCCGAAAGGAGGGCUAAUACAGCAUAAGACCACGUCUUCGCAAGGAGAUGAGGUCAAAGCCGGCCUCUUCACGAAAGCUGGCGCCAGGGGAUGAGCCUGCGGCCCAUCACGGUAGUUGGUAGGGUAAUGGCCUACCAAGCCUAAGACGGGUAGCUGGUCUGAGAGGAUGAUCAGCCACACUGGAACUGAGACACGGUCCAGACUCCUACGGGGGCAGCAGUGGGGAAUCUUGCGCAAUGGGCGAAAGCCUGACGCAGCGACGCCGCGUGAGUGAUGAAGGCCUUCGGGUUGUAAAGCUCUGUGGGGAGGGACGAAUAAGUGCUGGCUAAUAUCCAGCGCGAUGACGGUACCUCUUUAGCAAGCACCGGCUAACUCUGUGCCAGCAGCCGCGGUAAU